CGAACGGGUGAGUAACACGUGGGUAAUCUGCCCUCGGUUCUGGGAUAGCCCGGGGAAACCCGGAUUAAUACCGGAUAGCCUCUCGAGCUCUCGGGCUCGUGAGAAAAGGUAGCUUUGGCCUCCGACCGAGGAGGAGCCCGCGGCGGAUUAGCUUGUUGGCGGGGUAAUGGCCCACCAAGGCGACGAUCCGUAGCUGGUCUGAGAGGACGAUCAGCCACACUGGGACUGAGACACGGCCCAG
rnacentral:rRNA from 1 species